rnacentral:rRNA from 1 species
CAAUAGCGUAUAUUUAAGUUGUUGCAGUUAAAAAGCUCGUAGUUGGAUUUCGGUUAAGAGCGACCGGUCCGCCGUUUGGUGUGCACUGGUUGGUUUUAACUUCCUGUAGAGGACGUGCUCUGGGUUUAACGACCUGGACUCGGAGUCUACGUGGUUACUUUGAAAAAAUCAGAGUGUUCAAAGCGGGCUUACGCUUGAAUAUUUCAGCAUGGAAUAACACUAUAGGACUCCUGUCCUAUUUCGUUGGUCUCGGGACGGGAGUAAUGAUUAAGAGGAACAGUUGGGGGCAUUCGUAUUUCAUUGUCAGAGGUGAAAUUCUUGGAUUUAUGAAAGACGAACUUCUGCGAAAGCAUUUGCCAAGGAUGUUUUCAUUAA